rnacentral:lncRNA from 1 species
GGAUGAGCAAGACUUUUUUUUUUUUUUGGAGACAACUUCAUUUGAUUCAACAUUGAAGACAAGUACAAUGGUUUAUGGUGAGAGCCAAGCUAUUACAUAUUGCUGGUUAGAUAGUCUAGCUCUCUUUGCUAAUUGAUCAACAUGAUAAAUUAAAUUCCUAGGGACCUGUUUGAAAGAGUAAUCAUUUAGCUUGGCCAGAUUGAGGAUGUCCUGCACCAUCGUAGAAGCUUCAUGACAAGCA